rnacentral:tRNA from 1 species
CAGUAGCUCAAUUGGAUAGAGCAUCAGACUUCGGAUCUGAGGGUUAGGGGUUCGACUCCUCUCUG